CCAGCACUAUCCUGGAACCAUGCUGACACAGAACCAUGCCUAUGCCACAAGAAGAAUCUGAGCCAAGCUGCUAGAGGAGGAGAACCCAAUUGUUCUAGCUAAAACUACUGUACCACAGCCAGUCUGCCAUUUCCCAAACAUGCUGAGAACCCAGAGAAGAUCAGCAAAGCCAUCAACUACCCCACAGCUGACUGCAGAUGCAUGGAUGAGUCCAGUUAAGACUAACAGAACCACUGACCCCAGCUGCUGACCUGUGAGCAAUGUGGUCAUGGCAGAGGUCGCAUAUUGAAGAUGGUAGCACCACAAGCUGGAAGGAGCUGGGAUCAGACUCAUUAUUU